UAGUAUUUACAUAAUUCAAGAAAAGCUAUGAUAACCUAUAUAUGAAUUCAUUUUUUACUAAACAAAAUAUUAAUCAGAAUACUAUAAACAUCGAUUAUAUUUAACAGAAUUAUGUUUAUCUGUUUAUAACAAGCUGAAUAUAACAAAUCACAAUUUUUUUAUGGAAAAAUACAGUAGAGGUAUAUCUUACAUCUGUGUUAGACAUGUGGAACUAACAAAAAUAA